rnacentral:rRNA from 1 species
UGCCAGCCGCCGCGGUAAUACGGAGGGUGCGAGCGUUAAUCGGAAUUACUGGGCGUAAAGCGUACGUAGGCUGAUACCUAAGUCGGAUGUGAAAGCCCCGGGCUCAACCUGGGAACUGCAUACGAUACUGGGUAUCUAGAAUAUGGGAUAGGGGAGAGGAAUUUCCGGUGUAGCGGUGAAAUGCGUAGAUAUCGGAAAGAACACCAGUGGCGUAGGCGUCUCCCUGGCCUAAUAUUGACGCUGAGGUACGAAAGCGUGGGUAGCAAACAGGAUUAGAUA